AGAGUUUGAUCCUGGCUCAGGACGAACGCUGGCGGCGUGCUUAACACAUGCAAGUCGAACGGUGAAGUCCCUUCGGGGGCGGAUCAGUGGCGAACGGGUGAGUAACACGUGGGCAAUCUGCCCCUCACUGUGGGAUAACUCCGGGAAACCGGGGCUAAUACCGCAUAUGAAGCCUGGCGGCAUCGCCGGGUUUGGAAAGUUUUUCGGUGAGGGAUGAGCCCGCGGCCUAUCAGCUUGUUGGUGAGGUAAUGGCUCACCAAGGCGACGACGGGUAGCCGGCCUGAGAGGGCGACCGGCCACACUGGGACUGAGACACGGCCCAGACUCCUACGGGAGGCAGCAGUGGGGAAUAUUGGGCAAUGGGCGAAAGCCUGACCCAGCGACGCCGCGUGCGGGAUGAAGGCCUUCGGGUUGUAAACCGCUUUCAGCAAGGAAG
rnacentral:rRNA from 1 species